rnacentral:rRNA from 1 species
UACGGAGGGUGCGAGCGUUGUCCGGAAUCAUUGGGCGUAAAGGGCGCGUAGGUGGCGGGACAAGCGUGCGGUGAAAGCCUGGGGCUCAACCCCGGGUCGGCCGUGCGAACUGUUUUGCUUGAGCACUGUAGAGGCAGGCGGAAUUCCGGGUGUAGCGGUGGAAUGCGUAGAGAUCCGGAAGAACACCGGUGGCGAAGGCGGCCUGCUGGGCAGUAGCUGACACUGAGGAGCGAAAGUGUGGGGAGCGAACAGG